AGUGAACGCUGGCGGUAGGCCUAACACAUGCAAGUCGAACGGCAGCACAGAGGAGCUUGCUCCUUGGGUGGCGAGUGGCGGACGGGUGAGGAAUACAUCGGAAUCUACUCUGUCGUGGGGGAUAACGUAGGGAAACUUACGCUAAUACCGCAUACGACCUACGGGUGAAAGCAGGGGACCUUCGGGCCUUGCGCGAUUUCAGGAGCCGAUGUCGGAUUAGCUAGUUGGCGGGGGAAAGGCCCACCAAGGCGACGAUCCGUAGCUGGUCUGAGAAGGUGAUCAACCACACUGGAACUGAGACACGGUCCAGACUCCUACGGGAGGCAGCAGUGGGGAAUAUUGGGCAAUGGGCGCAAGCCUGAUCCAGCCAUACCGCGUGGGUGAAGAAGGUCUCCGGGUUGUAAAGCCCUUUUGUUGGGAAAGAAAUCCAGCUGGCUAAUACCCGGUUGGGAUGACGGUACCCAAAGAAUAAGCACCGGCUAACUUCGUGCCAGCCGCCGCCGUAA
rnacentral:rRNA from 1 species